rnacentral:SRP_RNA from 1 species
AGCCGGGUCCCGCGCAACGGCACGCUGUGAACUCCGCCAGGUCCGGAAGGAAGCAACGGCAGCGGCGCCCGUCGUGUGCCGCGGGUCAACCCGGCUAUC